UGUAGCGGUGGAAUGCGCAGAUAUCAGGAGGAACACCGAUGGCGAAGGCAGUUCUCUGGGCCGUAACUGACGCUGAGGAGCGAAAGGUGGGGAGCGAACAGGAUUAGAUACCCUGGUAGUCCACGCCGUAAACGUUGGGCGCUAGAUGUGGGGCCGUGUCGCAGCUAACGAUUAAGCGCCCCGCCUGGGGAGUACGGCCGCAAGGCUAAAACUCAAAGGAAUUGACGGGGGCCCGCACAAGCGGCGGAGCAUGCGGAUUAAUUCGAUGCAACGCGAAGAACCUUACCAAGGCUUGACAUACAGGUGGUGCAUGGUUGUCGUCAGCUCGUGUCGUGAGAUGUUGGGUUAAGUCCCGCAACGAGCGCAACCCUCGUUCUAUGUUGCAACUCAUAGGAGACUGCCGGGGUCAACUCGGAGGAAGGUGGGGAUGACGUCAAAUCAUCAUGCCCCUUAUGUCUUGGGCUUCACGCAUGCUACAAUGGCCGGUACAAAGGGCUGCAAUACCGUAAGGUGGAGCGAAUCCCAAAAAGCCGGUCUCAGUUCGGAUUGAGGUCUGUAACUCGACCUCAUGAAGUCGGAG
rnacentral:rRNA from 1 species